rnacentral:sRNA from 1 species
AUAAGUAAAACCGAUGCCCUUCCGCCCCUAACCCCAAAAGCUGCUUUUGCGUCUAGAUGUUAUUGAGAGCCGGCUCUGCGGUCAGCUCUGAGCUAGGCGCUGUGAGAACGCUCAGUAAGACAGUGUCUCGUCUGGAAAUGUACAGGCGAGAUUCAAACCGAAAAACUGCCAAAGGUUGUGUGCAGGGCAGAUCCUAGGAUACCAGAGACCCAGCCCGUUGGCUUGACCUCAAAACUCGGGGCCUUUUCAGCCCGUGCUGUUCCUUAAUUCUUCCUCCUUUGCUGACGCUGUGGGUGCGCAUCAAAGCCUAAACUUCACUAGCUCCCUUGCACACAAGAACACUAACCCUAACCUGACCGGUUAUUUAUUUUUCACUUCAAGAUUCUUCCAUUGAUAAUUAUGUUUCCCUGAUAUCGUCCAAGUGCUGAGGGCGGGGAUGGACUGUGUGAUUUGCAUCUGCCAAAUGCAGAAAAUUUGGAAGUUCACAGCCUCUUAGUUGGAUGCCCCUGUGUCACAGAACGCAUUUUGGCUAUGGGGUGUGAUCUGUGUCUGAGGAACAACAAGAAGCUACACAUCAUCCACACAGGAGCCAAAUCUGGAACUCUGGUCUCAGUUCUUCAGGACUAUUUGAGCGAACAAUCACUAAACACUAGAGUAAAGGAUGUCCUACUAGAAGUCUUAUUCUGACUCCUAAAACCACGCUACUCAAAGUGUUGAUCCACAAACCAGUGCCAGUCCUUGAACUUUGUUACUGGUCCACAGUUAGGUCCUAGUGAUUCCUGUGUGCACCCAGGGUUGAGAACUACUGCAUAAGAGCUCCUAGAAGAUACCUGGUAUGGCCAGAGUACAGAGGGACUGGGGAAGAACUUCUGCUUGGGUGGCUGAACUCUGAUCUUGACCUA